rnacentral:rRNA from 1 species
UACAGAGACUGCAAGCGUUAUUCGGAUUCACUGGGCGUAAAGCGUGCGCAGGCGGCCUCUUAAGUCAGAUGUGAAAUCCCCGGGCUUAACCUGGGAACUGCGUUUGAAACUGGGAGGCUUGAGUGUGGAAGAGGGGGGUGGAAUUCCAGGUGUAGCAGUGAAAUGCGUAGAGAUCUGGAGGAACACCGAUGGCGAAGGCAGCCCCCUGGGCUGACACUGACGCUCAUGCACGAAAGCGUGGGGAGCAAACAGG